rnacentral:sRNA from 1 species
UCCAGGAGUACGUGGAGCAGCUGCUGCACCCCCAGGACCCCACCUCCCUGGGCAAUGGUGAGUCAGCCCUAGGCGGCGGUAGGGGAUGGGGACGCUUCGAGUCUCCAGGUGCCAGGAUCCCUGUCCCCACCGUCUCUGUUGGCAGACACCCUGUACUUCUUCGGGGACAACAACUUCACCGAGUGGGCCUCUCUUUUUCGGCACUACUCCCCACCCCCAUUUGGCCUGCUGGGAACCGCUCCAGCUUACAGCUUUGGAAUCGCAGGAGCUGGCUCGGGGGUGCCCUUCCAUUGGCAUGGGCCCGGGUACUCAGAGGUGAUCUACGGUCGUAAGGUGCUGUACUUCCCCGACCGCUGGUGGCAUGCUACGCUCAACCUUGACACCAGCGUCUUCAUCUCCACCUUCCUCGGCUAGCCAAAACAGCUGGCAGGCCUGCCUGUCACACACCGGCACGUCCCACCUCGUGCUCACGGAUUUUAUUACACAGAUAGUGGCAGCAGUGGCCUCAGCCCAGCCCACCCUCACCUGCUUUUCCAGCCCACAAAGGGGGACGAUCACAGCCCAGCAAGAGCGAUGCUGAGAGGGGGAACAGUCCAAAGUCCAACAGCAGAACUUGGGGGGAAGGGGUUGGGGU